rnacentral:misc_RNA from 1 species
AAAAAAAAAAACAAACAAGCUUGAAGGUAUUUCAUGGAGUGUUAGAAAUACUGGAUGUAUAUCUAGCGAUAUCGCUGUCCAGGAAGCGGUUGACAAAGUUACGACUUGCUGGAGCUAAGCUCAGAACUUGCGGCCAAGAAACCACAGACUACAGUUAAACGCAAAAAGCAUAAAUAAACAUUACGAAUAGAAGCGGAGGCACGACUUUGGUUCUCUUCGAAACUCACAGUACCGGCUAAACAACAAGUUGAAGAAUAGGGUAACACACGAUGUAAGUAUAAGAAUUGAUAAAAUAUUCGAUCGGAGAAAUUAU